rnacentral:rRNA from 1 species
AAUCAACGCUGGCGGCGUGCCUCAGACAUGCAAGUCGAACGCGAAAGGUUCCUUCGGGGACCGAGUAGAGUGGCGCACGGGUGAGUAACACGUAGGUAAUUUGCCUUUGGGUGGGGAAUAACUCAGGGAAACUUGAGCUAAUACCGCAUAAUGCAGCGGCUCGACAUCGAGACAGUUGUUAAAGCGGGGGAGUUCGCAAGAACCUCGCGCCUAAAGAGAAGCCUGCGGCAGAUAGCUAGUUGGUAAGGUAAUGGCUUACCAAGGCGACGAUCUGUAACCGGCCUGAGAGGGCGGUCGGUCACACUGACACUGACAUACGGGUCAGACUCCUACGGGAGGCAGCAGUCGGGAA